AGGAUGAACGCUAGCGGGAGGCUUAACACAUGCAAGUCGAGGGGCAGCACGAGUCCGCCGCAAGGCGGAUUUGGUGGCGACCGGCGCACGGGUGAGUAACGCGUAUGCAACCUACCCUGUACAGGGGGAUAGCCCGGAGAAAUUCGGAUUAAUACCCCAUAACUAUAUCGAGAGGCAUCUUUUGAUAUUUAAAGUUUCGACGGUACGGGAUGGGCAUGCGUGACAUUAGCUAGUUGGUAGGGUAACGGCCUACCAAGGCUACGAUGUUUAGGGGACCUGAGAGGGUUAUCCCCCACACUGGUACUGAGACACGGACCAGACUCCUACGGGAGGCAGCAGUGAGGAAUAUUGGUCAAUGGGCGCAAGCCUGAACCAGCCAUCCCGCGUGAAGGAAGAAGGCGCUAUGCGUCGUAAACUUCUUUUCCAGGGGGAGAAUUUUCCGGUCGUGACCGGAAUUGACGGUACUCUGGGAAUAAGCAUCGGCUAACUCCGUGCCAGCAGCCGCGGUAAUACGGAGGAUGCGAGCGUUAUCCGGAUUUAUUGGGUUUAAAGGGUGCGUAGGCGGAUCAAUAAGUCAGUGGUGAAAUUCUGCAGCUUAACUGUAGACUUGCCAUUGAUACUGUUGGUCUUGAGUAUGGUCAAGGUAGGCGGAAUGUGUAAUGUAGCGGUGAAAUGCUUAGAUAUUACACAGAACACCGAUUGCGAGGGCAGCUUGCUGGGCCAAUACUGACGCUGAGGUACGAAAGCGUGGGUAGCGAACAGGAUUAGAUACCCUGGUAGUCCACGCCGUAAACGAUGUCAACUAGCCG
rnacentral:rRNA from 1 species